rnacentral:rRNA from 1 species
UGGGAGGAACCCCCUGGGUCCCUCCUCUAUUUUGCAUUUGGGUUUUGACACGCCGAGGACCAUGGGUAAUGAUUAAUAGGGAUAGUUGGGGGCAUUAUAUUUAAUUGUCAGAGGUGAAAUUCUUGGAUUUAUGAAAGAUUAACUUCUGCGAAAGCAUCUGCCAAGGAUGUUUUCAUUAAUCAAGAACGAAAGUUAGGGGAUCGAAGACGAUCAGAUACCGUCGUAGUCUUAACCAUAAACGAUGCCGACCAGCGAUUAGGAGACGUUGAAUACAAAACACCACCAUCGGUGCGGUCGUCCUUGGCAUUUGUCGUGGCGCAAGUCACGGCAGGUGUGAGGAUGGUUUAGCCUGAUGGAUUUCGGUGAAUGACUCCCUAGCAGCUUGUGAGAA